GGGUCCAAAAUGAAUUUAUCCUAAACAAAGCCCAGACAUGAAGCCCUCUUCACUCAAACCUGCCAGUGCCGCCAUUUCCCUUUUGUUCACCAUUGCUUCUCCUCUUCAAAGCUCCCAUGGCAGUCGUCUUCUCAUUCAAACCACUUCCACCUUAAGAAUGCUGGCAAGGAAACCAAACCCCCUUUUAGCAGCAGCAGCAGCUCGUUUUGGAUUGUGGGUUCACUCUAAAUUCUGUAUGUUUAAUUCUAUCUCAUAUCUUCAUACCAGUAAUGAUGCCCUAGCUUCAUUUUAUCACAUGCUUCACAUGAACCCACUUCCCUCUGUAGGAAAAUUUAAUGAAUUGCUUACUAACCUUGUUGGAAUGAAGCAUUUUGAGGCUGUAGUUUCUUUGGGGAAAGUGAUGGAGUUUCACGGAAUUCGAUACGAUAAUUAUACGUUUAAUAUUCUGAUUAACUGCUUCUGCAAUUUGUAUGGUGUCGAUUUCGGGUUUUCUAUGUUAGGGAGAGUGAUUAAACUUGGAUAUGAGGUUGAUAUUGUUAUGUUUACUACUUUAAUGACUAGUCUUUGUAGAGAAGGUAAAAUUGCUCAAGCCGUUGAGUUGUUGGAUCGAAUGGUGGUGGAGGGUUAUCGACCGAAUGUUUAUACGUAUAGUGUGGUUGUUAAUGGUUUAUGUAAAAUUGGAAAAAUGGUUGAGGCCACUAGUUUGUUUAAGAAAAUGGCUGAAAACGGCUGUGAGCCUAAUGUUGUAGCGUACACCACCGUCAUCGACAGCCUUUGUAAAAAUAGUUUCAUUUCUGAGGCGUUAGACUUGUUCUCGGAAAUGAAGAGGAAAGGUAUAUUGCCUGAUGCUUUUGCUUACAACUCUUUGAUUCAUGGUAUUUACAGCGCUGACCGAUGGGAUGAAGCCUCAUCUUUACUUGAUGAAAUGCUGGAUAGGGACAUCGCCCUAGAUAUAGUUACAUUCAAUGUAUUAGUAGGUGUACAUUCUAAGAAAGGAAUGGUUUCGGAGGCUCAUAGUUUAGUCGAAUUGAUGAUUGAGAGGGGAAUAGAUCCUAACGUUGUCACCUAUAAUUCAUUGUUAAAUGCGUAUUCUUGGCGGAACCAAAUAAGUGAAGCUACAAAUAUAUUUGACGUAAUGGUUACUAACGGUUGUAUACCGGAUGUUUAUACUUACACUAUAUUGAUUAAGCUGUAUUGUAAGAGCAAACGGAUAGAUGAGGCAAAACAAUUUUUUGAUGAAAUGCGUUAUAAAGGUAUAUUGCCUAACGCUGUUACUUGUAGUUCUCUUCUAAAAGGAAUUUGUCAAGUUGAGGGUCCUCGGGCUGCCCGAGCUUUUUUCAAGAAGUUAGAUGUUAGCGACUCUGAUCUAAAUGUUGUAAGUUACUCAAUUUUGUUGGAUGGCUUCUGCAGACAUGGGCUUCUUGAUGCAGCAAUGAAUGUGUUUUAUGAAAUGAAGAAGAGUAUGUUGAAGCCCGAUUGUUGUAUCUAUAAUAUCUUAAUCAAUGGCAUGUGCAAGGCUGGUAAUCUUAAAGGUGCAAUGGAAUUGUUUUCAGAACUUUCCAUUGAAGGGUUGCAGCCGAAUGUGAGAUCAUAUACUAUACUAGUCAGGGGUCUUUGCAAAGGAGGUUUACUAGAUGAGGCACACCAUGUCUUUAGAAUGAUGGAGAAAGAAGGACAGUUACCAGACAAUUGCUCUUAUAAUGUGAUUAUUCGGGGAUUUCUCCGGCACAAGAAUCUGUCAAUGGCAACACAACUUAUUCAUGAAAUGAUUGAUAAAGGGUUAUCUUUAGAUUCCACCACAGCUGCAUUGAUAGUAGAUUUAGCUAGUUGAUAUAUUUGAAGAUCAUCAAGCUGUAAAGGUAGAGCUUGGUCGUUAGCCUGCAGAUGCUGUGCUUUCAAGCAACAGAACAGAUAGGAGGGUUUCUGUUGGAAGACGAAAUGUGAAGGGGAGAGCCCAUAAAUUAGCUACAGGAGAUUAUUCUUUGGGCAGUGAAUGCCUUUACUCAUUUGCCAAACAAGCUUACAGGUGUCGCUUAUAUCUGGUCAUUCGGCGUUUGUGUGACUUACCCUUAAAGUCGACUCUAGAAGACGUUGGACCUAAAUUUUUGUGGCGAGGUUCGGUUCAAUCAAACCGCAAGGGUUGGAUUUGAGGAAGACACAGUUCGCAAGCACACCAACCGGCGGAUGUUUGGACGGUUCAUAAUCACAGGUUUGUUCCUUUUGUGGAAGAUUAAUGUGCUGGUUUUGAUGGCGACUUGUCUUGGUAUGGUACUGAUCCUCCAUUGAAACCUUCCCUUUAUGUUUCAAAAGGUUCCAUAUCGCGCGAACAACUCUCAACGGGUACGAUACCUGUUGGUGUUAAGGAUAAUUUCUCUAAGAGGUCAGUAAGACUUGUUGAUAAUGGUGCAGUCUCUUCCCGAUAUGGAGUUAUAUUGAAACAAAGAAAGUGCGAACCUGCCGUAAGGGAUUACCAGCAAGGCAAAGUUGUUUGCUUGUUUGGUGGGAAAGACAAGGAAAAGGAGGUAAUUAC